UUCCCCUUCCCUCCCACACAAUAACUGGAUGACUUGUCCAGAUCUUAGGCAACAAUUCUCUUAGCACAUCAGCUCCUGGAAACAAAUGCACUUAACCAGAAAGACGGGGACAUCAACCAGCAAAGAUGCAUCCUUAGUUAACAGAGCUUGAAAUUACUAUAAUCUGUAAAGUACAGUGAGGAAAAGAAGUUUCACCUGCCUGCACCGUCAGUCGUUGACUCUCCAUCUGACUUGGAGGGACGCCGAGGGACCGAACUGAGCCUGAGAAGAGGACAGAUUCCCCUUCAAGAACACACUGGGAACUCACGAAUCUCCUUCUCCGUGUGCAGAGCGCAGAGGAGAAUCCCGGCUCUGACGUCUGGUUCUGAUGACACCCGGGCGAGGCCGCGGGCUUUCCACCCCUCCACGGCCUCCGUUCUUUUUCACCUUCAUGCGAGGGAACGAUCCAACCUGCCUAUCCGUACUGUGAGUGUGUGAGGACUCCCCUGAAGUCCUGCAAGGUCUUGGCUGCCGGUUGGCAGGAAGUGGUGGAUGGACAGGGAUGGAGUUGGAAGCCAUUAUCCUCAGCAAACGAAUGCAGAAACAGAAAACCAAACACCCGUUUUCUCACUUACAAGUGGGAGCUGAACGAUGAGGACACAUGGAUAAAUGGGGGAACAACACACCCGGGGGCUUGUUGGAGGGGGAGCGACGGGGGAGGGAGAGCAUCAGGGAGAACAGCUAACGGAUGCUGGGCCUAAUACCUGGGUGAUGGGCUGAUCUGUGCAGCAGACACCACGGCACACGUUUACCUGCGUAGCAAACCUGCACAUCCUGAUUUCAUCCCAGGAACCUAAAAUGAAAGUUGAAGAAAAAAAAAUACAACGGUAUAGACAGAAUACAAGAAAACUAAGAGAAGAAUUGUGUACAACGAAUACCAGCCAGGAAAACCUGAUUAAAUACCAGAGAAAAUAGCAUUCUAGGCAAAAAUGUUCUGGAUACAAAUAGAGUACUAAACACUGAUGUGAGAAACAACCUACAAGCUUGUGAGAAGUCCAAAACUAUGAAGUCUUGCUCUGUCACCCAGGCUGGAGUGUAGUGGCACGAUCUCAGCUCAUCACAACCUCUGCCUCCUGGGUUCAAGCGAUUCUCCUGCCUCUCAGCCUCCCAAGUAACUGGGAUUAAAGGCGUGCACCACCACACCCAGCUAAUUUUUGUAUUUUUAGUAGAGCCUGAAUUAUAUCUUAAUAAGGCUUUUCUUUCUAAUGGUACCCCUUGAAGCCUGAGAUUCUUAUCUAGUGAGAUACUGAAACUUUAGCCACACUUCUCUUUGUAAACCUCAUAUACUUUACUUGACCUAGAAUAUAAUAAUGGUGAGAAAUUUUGGAUGUUCAUCCCCACCCAGAUCUCGUGUUGAAUUGUAAUCCUCAAUGCUGGAGGUGGGGCCUGGUGGGAGGUGUUUGGGUCAUGGGUGUGGAUCCUUCAUGGCUUGAUGCUAUAUUCAUGAUAGUGAGUUCUCAGGAGAUCUGAUCAUUUAAAAUUGUGUGGCAUGUCCCCCUGCCAACUCUCUCUCUUGCUCCUGCUUUCACCAUGGGGAAGCCAACUCUCACUUCGCCUUCUACCGUGAUGGCAAGCGUCCUGAGGCCUCUGCAGAUCCUGAUGCCAGAGCUGUGCUUCCUGUACACCCUUCAAAACUGUGAGACAAUUAAACCUCUUUUCCUGAAUCUUGAAUAUUACCCAAUCUUGAAUAUUUCUUUAUAGCGAUGCAAGAACAGCCUAAUACAAAUUGGUUUAGAAGUUUUACGUAAUCAAUCACCUUGGGUGUCCUGCUGAGCUUUAUCUUUCUAGAAGCAUUUAUGAGAAAAACACACACACAUACACACAUGCACCCACACACACAUGUUCCUAGACCUGAUUCUUCCUCCAACUUUACAUUAAUUACAAAUCAAUAGAACUAUGAUUUGUUGAGAUGAUUGGGAAUCUUUGCAGGAAAACAACUUACGGAGCAGUACAUGUUCCUUCUGAUAUUCUCAUCAGCUUUGUUUCCAAAGAAAAGGUGACUGUUCUUCAUUUUGUUUUGUUUUAUUUUAUUCUUUGAUACUAAAAAUUAAAGUGUCUUUAACUUUUGUGCCAACGUCUUUGUAGAUUGUGUCAUUUGCCUUGCGUAGAGAUAAAACAUCCCUGUAUCUCUGGCCUUGGGAAAAUCUGAAAGUCCAGGGCAGCUCUCCAUACGCUUUUAUAGGUACAUCUGCCUCUCACUGUCCCAGAAAAUCAUACUCAGGCUACCAUGUGCCCCAAUCAUAGUGGUCGCAUCCUAAUGCCUACCAAUAGCCCGAUCGGAUCCUCUUCCUUUGGGGGUUUGGGAUAAGAAGAUGAGCGCCUUCUCUCCCUUUGCAGGGAAGGGAGGUAACAGCACAGUUGAUUUUUCAAAGAUAACCCACCUCCAAGAAUCUUUCUUCCUCACCUCUCAUAGCUUCUAAAGUCCUAAAGGAAAUAAAAGAUUGCAAUAAUUGUGAAAAAGUAUUGUUUCUUUUGAAAAACCCAUGCAUAGCAGAUUCAGCUUAUUAUGUCAUAAUUUUUCAUCUUUCUUGGCACCUUGUUGGAACCUGAGUUUGGCAUCUGUUUCUGCAUGCUGCUCUGUCUGUGCAGCUGGAAACAGGGGCAGUGCAGACUGUGGGUGGGUUUCUACGGGGUCCGUGUGAGCAUAGGGUCCAUAGACUGCAGAGGGACUUUGGAAAGGCAGGAAAUUCUCCUUUUCAAUUUCCACGAAAAGGGGACCUGUCAAAUCCAGGGCAGUAAUAAAAUCCACCAAGUUGGAAGUUCUCCUUCAAGAGCCAUGGAAAUGUGGGUGAAGUAUCUGUCCGAUCCUCAGGACAGUCAUCCUGUAUGAUCUCACUAUGCUGGACUCACAGCCCUGUGUCCACCACCAGACAGAGAGGUCCUAAGGAGCAACAGAGUUUUUCUAGUUCUUCACAUUCUGUUUCCUGCAGCCUCUAUUUGGGGCCUAGCCCAGGAAUAAAUGCACGGUGGAUGCGGAGAGUGGAAUGAUAGCUUUGAAUGAAUACAUUCAUCCAGAAAUAAAGAAAAAUAUCAUAAUCAAUGAACUGAAUAUUCAUGCCAUGAUGUUAUUUUCAAAACCAACAAGUUACAGACAGUAAAUUCUCUUGAAAGCAGAAGAUAUUGAAGGAAGAAAAUAAGGAAAGAAAUAUGUGAAAAAGAAAUGAAAUAUAUGAUAGAAAAGAUAAUCAAAUGCAAAAGAUAUUUUAUUGCAACAACUAAUGAAAUUGAUUUGAAUCUAGAAGGCUGAUGAAGAAAAAUAAAAGAAUGAACAAAUUGCAAAUAUUGAGGAUGAAGAUACGGUGUCAUUAAAGAUCCUAUAUGCAGUUAAAACAAGAAAUUUAUAAUAUCAGCAAUGCUAUUUUUAAAGAAGAAAAAUUCAGAUAAUAGGAAAAUUUCUAAAAUAAAUAGAGAUUAUAUAAAGAAUUUGACGCAAAAAGAAGAAAACUGGAAUAUAUGUGUGUUUAAUAAAUGAAGUAUAUCAGAUACCAUUUUUCUUAGAGCCUUGUCCAAGCUGGCCCUAAUUUUCUAAUUAUCUUCUAUAUCAUCCAGCUUUAUUUUUAUUGCAGUUAUCACUACCCAAAAUUAUACCAUCUUCUAUAUAUCUAUUGCCUGUCUCCUUUCACAAAAAUAUAACUCUUUUUAGAGUCUUGAGACAUUUUUAAAUAUUUUAUUGUUGAUUUUAGGCAGUGGAGAAAUCAGCUAUUUAUGGGCAGAUAGUCUAUUGUAUUUUUUAAAUCUCCAGACUAUGUGUUUGUGUCAUUAUAUUUAUUACAAACAUUUAUUUUAAAAUGUUUUAUUUUGAUCCUAUUGAAAAAUUAAGUAAUAGUGAAUGAGAGCCCUCUCUGUCUUGAGCGACUCCACAAUCCUGGUGUCUAGAGUAAUUCUGACCCACAUCAAGUACUCAAAAAUAAUGUUUAAACAAAGGCACACAUGAAGAAAUAAAUUCAGUCAUAUUAUAAAUAACUUCACCAUCUGAGAAAACUUUAUGGCAAGAAAUCUUGUUACCAUUGUACAACGGGGACCACAAAUACAGAAAUGAGAAAAUUCCACCCAAAGAGGAGAGGUUCAGAGAUUCUUUCUUCUCAGUCUCUUCCACAUUUCUUGAAGUUUCCUUUCAAAAUACUCUCUUGUAAAUUAUUGAAUAUGUUAGAUUUUUUAAUACUUCAUGACAUUAAAUCCCUUUCUCACCAGACGACUGGCGUCUCCAAGUCUGUCUCCUCUGUCAGGUAUUCCUGGCGUUCCCAGUUGAAGGGGCCUCACCAGCAUCGCUCUGGCCUGUGAAUCCACAGGGUCAACAGUCAGAAGGUGACAGAUGGAAGAUCUGGCUUCCCGAGCACUCCUGUAGGGCUGUUUUUCAUAAAGUCAUGGGGGAAGCGUGCUAACAUUAAAACGCUUUAGUGUCUAUUCUGAACUGUGGUUCUCAGAAUUCGGGACCAAAGUUGGACUCUGUGGAUCAAGUUAUCUGCAUAGAAAAGCCAUCCUGGUGAUCGCUGAGGAAAGAAGAGAAAUUAGCAAAAUACACAAUCAGGUCUCAGUACCAACGAUUGUAUUUUCUCCCUACAAAGGCUACCUGAAAAUAUCCAGGGACUACGGAGGUCGUCAAGUCGACGCAUCAGUGUUUACAUGUAAGUCGUCCAAGAUUUGUCUCACUAGUUUGUGAGUACUGUACCCCUACCCUUUUGUCUCUGUUUUGCUUUAGGAAUAUUUCCAAUCAACCAAUUUAUGAAGGAGGGACCAGAGGAGAAAAAGGCCAACCCUUCGACACCACAUUCCAUUUCUGGCCAUACUCCCAGAAAUGAUAAUUAUAAACCAAAACAGCAAUCCACUCACUAACAUCCACAAAUAACAUGAAGUUCAGGAUGAAGUUUCUGAAUAGUCUUCAGCCAGAGGACCCUCCAAACCACUUCAUUAUCAUGAUUAACAUGAAAAUCAGCUUUCAGAGAGGUCAGAAGAAUGUACAUAUUCUUCUUGCAAAUAUUUAAAUAUUUAUUGAAUAUUCUAAUUGCAUGUUCUGAAGGUUUUCUUCUGGAAUACAUUUAAGUAUAGAGAGUUUCAUGAUUUAGUCAUAAACACUAAAGGAACACAACUAUGUCACUUGUCAAAUAAAUACGUAGAACAAUUACCCCAGUGGUUCGCCACAUCCCACAUUGAGAAGCCUUCUGAUUAGGAGAAAGAGAAACCAAACAUUGGGAUUCUGCCCUCCUUUAACUCCCCAUCUCAUGAACUAGAUUUUGUUUUGUGAGGGCACCAAAGAACUCUCAUCUCAGUCCUUCAUCAAGGGCUAACCUUGUUUUAGGGACUUAGUGGAGGGGUACUAAGAUUACAGACUCCGGGCCGGGCAUGGUGGCUCACACCUGUAAUCCCAGCACUUUGGGAGGCCUACGCAGGUAGAUCAUGAGGUCAGAAGUUCGAGACCAGCCUGACCAACAUGGUGAAACCCCAUUGCUAUUAAAAGUACAAAAAUUAGCCAGGCAAGGUGGUGGUCACCUGUAAUCCCAGCUACUCAGGAGGCUGAGGCUGGAGAAUGGCUUGAAUUCAGGCGACGGAGGCUUCAGUGAGCUGAGACCGUGCCAUUGUACUCCAGCCUGGUUGACAGAGUGCUGAAAUUCAAACCUCAGCUCUUGUACUACUUAAGAGCUUUCUAAAUUCAGCAGCUUCUGGUGGCUCAUGCCUGUAAUCCCAGGACUUUAGGAAGCUGAGAUGGGCAAAUCACUUAAGGCCAGGAGUUUGAGACCAGCCUGGCCAACAUGGCAGGCUCUACUGAAAAUACAGAAAUGAGCCAGGCAAGGUGGUGCACAUGUGUAAUCCCAGCUACUUGGGUGACUGAGGCACUAGAAUUGCUUGAACCUGGGAGGUGGAGGUUGCAGUAAGAUGAGAUAGCACCACUGCACUCCAGCCUGGGGGGCAGAGCGAGAUGCUGUCUCAAAAUAAGUAAAUAAAUAAAUUCAUACGCUUCACACUACCUCCUAACUAUUCAACUUCCUCAUCUGUUAAUAGGUGUUAAACAUGUUGUACAGUGUAAUUAGAUUACAAUAAAACAAUGCAGGAGGAUCAGUUGCACUAAAUAAAAGCUCAGUAUAUUUACAGACUUACUAUUUUUGUUUGUCUCUGUAAUUCAUGAAAUUAGGAGCGAGUGAGUUUUGGGCUGCGAUCUGGCUGUUUGCUGUCUUACUGGGACACUCCUGAGACACUUUUAACAGCAUUUUAUUGCUGGUUUUAGGAAGUGAAGAAAUCAGCUAAUUUUUUUUUUAAUGGGCAGAUAUUCCACAAUAUUUUUUAAAUAUCCAAACUAUGUGUUUAUGUUAUUGUAUUUGUUACAAAUAUUUAUUUUUAAAUAUUUUGUUUUGAUUCUUUUGAACAAUUAGGUAAUAGGCCAGGCACGGUGGCUCAAGCCUGUAAUCCCAGCACUUUGGGAGGCCGAGGCAGGUGGAUCAGGAGGUCAAGAGAUUGAGACCAACCUGGUCAACAUGGUGAAACCCCGUCUCUACUACAAAUACAAAAAAUUAGCUGGGCACAGUGGCGCAUGCCUGUAAUCCCAGCUACUCAGGAGGCUGAGGCAGGAGAAUUGCCUGAACCCAGGAGGCGGAGGUUGUGGUGAGCCGAGAUCGCGCCAUUGCACUCCAGCCUGGGUAACAAGAGUGAAACUCCGUCUCAAAAAAAAAAUUAGGUAAUAGAUGAAGAUGUUUAUAUCCCUACAGAUUUGUUGGGAAUGUGAACUGAGCUUGGGGGGGUUACUGAGAGCAGCUGCUGUCACUGGUCAACAGCCACACAAGGGCUCAUCUAAGCAUGCCACCAUGCCCACCUUGCUGCUGGCUCAAAAAGCCUGCUUCUACGAAUCUGCUACUAUUUAUUAUUUUAUUGUUUUGUCACUUAAAGAAUAGAAAAUGUAACCAAUAUUUAAAAAGACCUAACUGGAAUAGAUUACUAUGGAAGCAUGUCUUUCCCUUGUGUGUCCAGAAGCACCAGUUGUGAAGUCCACAGGACACAGUCAGGGGUUAAAUGAGAAAGAGACGUGCUAGAUUUGGUGGUCUGACAUGGAGGACUGAGCUGCCACGAAGGUGACAGUUCAUUAGAUGCAGCAUCACUAUGUUCUGAGAAAGUGAUCAGAUGCAUCAGGCCUGUGAGAGGAGAAAUCUCUGGGCAGAUCCUGUUUAAGCCUGGAAUAAUUCAUUGUCCAACCAGAAAUUCCAGGUCCUGCUACCAAUACAGUGCCUUCAUGGAUAUCCAGAAGCCAAGUGGAAAGGGCUUCAUUUGCAUUUAAAUUAAAUUUGCAUAAAUAUUUUAGCAAAAAUAAAUAGAGACAACCACAGUCUUGCCUACAGUUGUUCCUCUUUGGCAGGAGAGGGAAUAGAAAUUGCCUAUGUUAUUGUGAGCUCUCUCCAGGCACCCAGAGAAGGGCAAUGGGACCCAGUGUCUGUAUGAUUUCAGACUGAACUACACUGUGAGACAGAAUGAGUUACGACUUUCCUUCCUCUACUUUUUCACACCACAAUGAAAGAUAUGAAAGAUAACCUUAUGCAUUUUCUAGAAAUUUCUCAAAAUUCUAGAAAUGGCCUCAGUUAGAACAGAAUGAAACGUGAAUUUAAUUAAAGUUGAGAGAUGAGGAGGUGGAGGCAGACUACGACAAGAAUCAGCAAUUCAGUUUGCAGUUGAAGCCACCAACUCAGUGCCUGCUCCUGGAACACCAAGCUCAUUUCCUCUACCUGCUCACAAAAGGACAGCAGUGUUCUACAGUAGCAGAAAGAAAGUGAACUUCAGGUUAGGGGAUGAGCAUUUCAACACAAUGGCAGUGGAAGUCUAGGAUGGGGUCUUGCUUAGGGAGGCCCUCUCUGGAAUGGCUAACCAUUCCAGGGCUGCUGGGUGUGCAGAGGCAGGGCCAGAGCAGCCUCACUCGCAUCUGCAGCAGCCCAUUCACAUGCGUUCUAUGUAAAUGGAGUCCCCUGGAGUUGUGCCAGGUGUGGAUGAGGUCCCCAUUGGAAACCAAACAUGGCACAGUCUGGCAAUGUUGUCUGUGAGAUGGUGACAGUUAAAUAUCUUCUUCUUCCUUCAUUCCAGCUCUGUACAAUCAAUACUUCUCAAUUUCAUACAUUCUAAAUACUCAUUUUCCCCAUAAACUGAGUCUUCAAUCACUUCCUCUUUACUUGAAAAGAUCCCCUCUAUCAGGGAAAAUGUAUGUUUACCAUUAUUGAUGAAAAAAGUCAAACUCUGUAAAACAUUUGAAAAGGCAGUUCCUGGGAAUAUGUGCCCAAGGUUACAGCCUAAGGCAUGUAUCGGCAGUUCCUGGGAAUAUGUGCCCAAGGUUACAGCCUAAGGCAUGUAUCGGCAGUUCCUGGGAAUAUGUGCCCAAGGUUACAGCCUAAGGCAUGUAUCGGCAGUUGCUGGGAAUAUGUGCCCAAGGUUACAGCCUAAGGCAUGGUAUCAGCAGUUCCUGGGAAUAUGUGCCCAAGGUAAUUGGGUUACAGCCUGGUUUUAAACAUUUCAGAAAGACACGAGACGUUAGUCAAUGCACGUGUGGUUUACAUUGGUUUGGUCCAGAAAGGCAGGACAACCCAAAGUGGGUUGUCCUGAGGGUCGUAGGUGGAUUCAAAAACUGUCUGAUUGGCAGUUGGUGGAAAUAGUUACUAUCUAAAGACCUGGAAUUAAUACAAAGGGAGGUGUGAUUUAAAGUAGGAGGUUGUGGAGACCAAGGUUCUUAUUACAUAGAUGAAGUCUCAUAAGCGGCCACGCUUUGGGCAAUAGAUGGCAAACGUUUCCUAUCCAGAGGUUUAAAACGUUCCAGACUCUCUGCAAGAGACCUAGCGAAGGAAGGAAAUUAGCUACAGAAUGAAAAUAUCCCCCCCAAGAGAUCGCCGUGCAGGGCCAUUCUAAAAUAUGUGAAAGAAAUACAUUUUGGGGUAAAAUACAUUGAUUUCUCUCAGAGCCUGCUAGCUGUCAUGUGAUAUAUGGAAGCCUAGUUGGAAUUUGGUAACUUACUUUUACAAAGAGUUUGCUCUGUUCGUCUUGAGAUCUCCACUUUAAUGUUAGUGCUGGUCAAUUGUACCUGAACUUCAAAGGGAGGAAGGUGUAAUGAGGUAUGUUCAGCUCACUGGCUCCCAGUCACCGCCUGAACUAGUUUUGCAGGUUUCUUCGGAAUUCCCUUGGCCAAGAGGGAUCCCUUCCGAUUGGUUGAGGGGCUUACAAUUUCCUGUUUGGUUUUCACCCCUCAUAUUUGUUCAUCCUGAGGUGUAUUUCUCAAAUAUGUCGAUGCUCCUGAAAGUGAAAUGACAGGAAUAUGGCAAACAGCUGUGUAUUUGUUGAGUGGUGUUUCAGAUGGCACGGAUUUUUCAGAUUUUCCACGUAGAGGAAAUGGCCCAGCAACGUGAGUCUUCAUGUUUCCAGUUUGAAAUAAAGAUUAUGUGCCUGGCACAUACUGGAAAAUCAAUAAAAUUCUGUUGAAUAAAUGUUGUGGAAAGAGAUUUAUAAGCAUUCAGAGGAAAGCUGAGUUUUCCCGAAAUAAUCCCUAUUUUGGUUCCAAGGGAUUUAUACAUUGAACAAUAUCAAAUGUUCUUCUAUUUUUUUUCCUUUACAUCUCACACAAGUGCGCAUGUGUUCGAGAAUCACAGGGUCAGCCUUGGGCAUGACUGACAUAUCAAGUAAAGAAAUUCUCUGUAAUGUUGAGGAGAUUCAGUAUAAUUUGUGUGCAGAUGUUCUGAAAUGUCCAUGAAUCACUUAGCUUGUGACUGACUCUAGAAGUAUUUUUACGUCUUCUGUGAAAAGUGUUGGUCACACACCUAGAAUCUACUGCCUGCUCGGACCUGCGUAGCUAGGCCCUAAUAUCUUCCAGAGAUUCCUUCCUCAGCAUCACAGCCUUGGACAGGGCAGGUCUGCUUGACCCUGGAGUAUUCUAGUUCCCUUGAAAUCACUGGUUCGGGAAUGUGCAGACCUAUGACCUUACUCAGAUGAACAAGAUAUAAGAGUAAUUUUAGUAGGGGAAUUCUAGUAAAAAGCUUUGCUCUUCUAAAAAGGAGAUGCAGGAAGCUACCUGCUGUCUUAUUUAUGGGGAACUUUCUACCUCGCUUGAUGGCACUUGGAAUUUCAGGUGUUACCUGCAUAAGGGAGAAGCCAUUCUGAAGGAGGAUGGCUGUGCAGAGAAGCGAAUGGAGCCUAGCACAAGCUGACAUUGCCCAGCUGUUGACUUUGCCAGCUCAGCACCCCCACUCCCUGCCACCAGAUCGUCAGGCUGUUUGAGAGAGAGAAUAAGACCCUUCUUUGCAGAUGUCUGAUGAGCCAGGAUUUUCUGUGGUUACAGCUGAAAGCACUGAAAAGAUACAGCUAUUUGUAAAUGGCCAUGUUUUGCUUUCUUUGACAUGUCUCCAUUAUAAAAACCUAAUUGUAUUCCAAAAAUUGAUUUUCUCAUCAGAAGACCAUGGACUUUUUGAGGGCAGAGAUUGUGUUUUGUGAUUCACUGAUGCUCAGAACCAGGCACAGUGAGUCCUCAUGAAGUUAUUUUUUUUUUUUUAGAUUUUGGGAUAACUUGCAGUGUUCUUAAGGCCAUCUCUUCAAGUAUACUGUAGCAAUUUUCUCUGCUUUGCUCUGAAGACCAUAGACGUGAAUAAGAUUUGAAUCUAUUCCCAGAUAGCUUUAAAUAUAGUAGAAGAGGCAGAUGUACACACAGCAAGAUAUAAUCCAGGAAAAAUCGAAACUAGGAAGACCGUUAUGAUAUUUCUAUCAAGCAGAAUUGAGUUUAUCUACAAGUAACAGUGAAAUUAAUCAGAAUGGCUUAAACAUUAGAGAUUGCUUUUCCUCACAUGACAGCAUUCCUAGAGGUUACUGGUGUUAGUACGGCAGUUCAAAGGAAUCAAGAGAAUGUUUUGGAAUCCGUUGGCUUUUUCCUUAUCAUUGAGAAAUGAGCGUUGUAUCUCAAGCCAUCACAUCCCAAUCAACACAGAAAUAUCUGGAAGAGAUGAUGCCAGCCAUAUCUCUCCUAUUACCCAUAAACAAAAGUUUGGCAAGGCAUGCCUCACAGUAAUUUAUGCAUGGACUUGUAAUCCAACUUAGGUCAGACAGUCACUCUCAUCUUUCAAGAAGACUGGGUAAAAGAAGAGUAAGUCUGUCCCUCACCUUGAGUUAGGCUCACCAUUGCCCAAGCAAAGAACAGGCAAUUUUAAGCUUGAGAAGUAAAGAGGACUGAGUAUCACAUAGACGGCUAUUAGAGAAGGUCACUUAUCUCAUGUAUGAUGCUGAGCUGGAGCCUGGAAGUAGCUGAGGCUGGAGAGGAAGCUGGGACCAGACCAUGAGGCCAUGGCUAUGCUGGGUGGCUUUGUUCUCCAAGAGCAGAGGGGAAGAACAUGGCCCAUGAUGGCACACCCUGGGCACACUCAAAGACUGUGAGAAGGAAAGAGGAGUUAGUUUCAGUUAAACAGGAUUACUUGACAAGAUGUCCACACUGAUAGCUAAAGUCGAUUUUAUAUGUUUUGUCUUGGAACUUGUCUUGGACAUUUAGGUAUUGAAAACUCUGAGAUGAAUAAGACAGAGAAUCGCUUCAUGCUUUUAUUUACCCCCAAAAAGUAAGUUGGUUCAUAAAAUUUCUCUCCUCUGGAGGAAUAAAUUAUAAAUUGGAUUGAACUUUUCAUUAGUAGCAUAUGAUUGGGUGGCUAUGUUGAGAUAAAGAACUUCAACUUUAACCAGAACAUUCUCUGAAAUUGUCAAAAUACCAAUUUUAAACAUAAUUCAAUGUUGCUAAUGUUUGAAAAUGCAAUUUAACAAAUUAAUUGGGAUAUAAUUCAUAGGCCACACAACCACUUAUUUAAAGGGCACUAUUAAAUGGUUUUAUUAGGUUCACAGUUACCAGCAAAAUCUGAUUUCAGAACAUUUUCACCCCGUAAAAAGAAACCUUGUAUCCGCUGGCAGUCACUCCCAUGCCUUUCCAUCUCCACCUCCAGGUGCUAAGUAAUGACUAAUUCACAUUUACCCUGGAAGACUUGCCACUGGAGCUCUUUCUCUGCCCCUUGGAGAGGGAAAUCUGUUCCAAAUCCUCUUGGCAGUUUAAAACAUGUGGCCUGACUUUCUCAAGGACCUGGAAGCCAUUCCUUUGAAAUCUGGUCAUCCAGGAAUAUGUGCUGUCCGAUCUCCUUGUCUCUGUGGGAGGGAAGAAGCCUAACUUCAGUGGGAGUCUUGCUCCAAGUGUUAAAACUCCUCCCUGUAGUAAGGAUACAAGACAGUUCACUUUUCCUCUGGGGAAAGCUGAUUAGCCAAGACGGAUGGCCUACAGUUCUCUGACCCCAGGUCUUACACACACACACACACACACACACACACUUUCUUCAGAGGAGCUAUACUCAAACUGAGUUCUGGUCUGUUUACGCUAUUGCAGUAGCUUUGAACCAAGCCUUCCUUACGGUUUUAACUCUGCCCAGUGCAAUUUGGUUUGGAUGGUUCCAUGGAAGACCGUGGGCUGGAAGAUACACUGGAAUCAGGUUUGGAAACUGGAAUGCAGGGGCGAAUGAGAUAGGCAAGGAGAAUCUGGCCAUAUACAAGAUGGGAUGGGGAAGACGCUGGAAGGUGGAGACCCCAGGCCUCAUUGCAGUGGAGUGAAUGUCUCCCCAAAUUAUAUCUAACUCCUAUCCCCUGGCACCUGGGAAUCUUAUUUUGGAAAUAGGAUUUUUGCCCGUGUAAUUGAGUUAAGGAUCUUGAGAUGAUACCAUCCUUGAUUUAGGGUGAGCCCUAAAUCCAAAUAUUGGUGGCUGCAUAAAAUAAAAGAGGGGAAGACUUGAGACACAGAGAAGGAGGCCUGUGACAGAGGCAGAGACGAGAGUGCAGCUGCCACCAGCUGAGGCAGGCAUACCUGGAGGCAGCAGGUCAGGGAGGAUCCUCCCCUGGAGCCUCAGAGGGGGCGUGACCCUGCCUACUCACUACUGCAAACUUCAGGCUUCCUGCACCGAGCGGGAAUCAACCUCUAUUGCUUCAGGCCGUUAAGUUUGUGCUGUCUGCCCAAGGAAAUGAAGAUACCCACUCAGAGCUUCACGGUGGUUAUUCUGAAGAAAUGUGCUGGGAGGUCCCUUAGAUUUGCCAGAGUGACGGGGUGAGCAGUUGGACAGGAAGGAUGGCUACGGAGCAGGGAGCUAAAGCUGACCCAAGUCAAAGGAGGUGACCAGGGGCAUAGAUGUGAACUACUGAUGCCCAUGAUGGUAGACUGGACCGGGAACAUGUGGCACAUGUACACCACGGAAUAUUACGCAGCCAUCAAAAAUGAUGAGGUCGUGUCCUUUCUAGGGGCAUGGAUGAAUCUGGAGAACAUCAUUCUCAGCAAACUGACACAAGAACAGAAAAUGAAAUACCCCAUAUUCUCACUCAUAGGCGGGUGAUGAACAAUGAGAACGCAUGGACACAGGGAGAGGAGACUACACACUGGGGUCUAUUGGGGGGAAUAGGGGAGGGACAGUGGAGGGGGAGCUGGAAAGGAUAGCAUGGGGAGAAAUGCCAGAUGUCAGUGAAGGGAAGGAAGGCAGCAAAUCACACUGCCAUGUGUGUACCUAUGCAACUAUCUUGCAUGUCCUGCACGUGUACCCCAAAACAUAAAAUGCAAUAAAAAAAAGAAGUGGUGGGAAAGUUGUUUACUAAAACUAGGAGUAAGGGAGUGAAGAGGCUCGGGAAGUUAAACUUUAAAACGGAGAGCACAGAGCAGGGAGGCUAAACAGGCCGAUACAUUGGUUCUUUGGAGAGGAUCUCAGAACUCCUUGUACUUAACAAUUUACAGGCUAAAACCUUUGAAGAGGAAUUUAUUACAUCCUACAAAUUCAAGAAGAUUAAAAAAAAAACAACAACAAGAAAGAAAACAUGAUUGUAAUGAUUCCUCUGAACGUCCUCCUUAGUGGAGACAGGCUUCCUGGCUGUUGUGCAUUCCCUGUUCCCAUUAACCUAAUGAAAUCUACACUUGCAAAUGAAGUCCUGGGGUCCCCAAUAGAUGUUCAGAGUCUGGCCUCAUGCUAAUAAGUUAUGUGCCAACCCAUAUCCCUAAACAGACUCAUGGAAAUGUGUUAAGCCAUAUAACAGAAUAAAAAUCAUGUUUAACUGAAAGAUGGGUCUUUUUUUUCUAUAGAAGGAAAUAAAGCAAUUGAACAUUUCUUUGCUCUUUAUACUAAAUUAAAUGCUAACAUGUAUAGAGAAGAGAAAAAAUGCACUCUGAUGGUGAAGGGACUGAGUCAAAUUCACAGCCAGGGUCCUUUUAGUGGAUAAGAACUCUAAAUCAAAACCCACAAAAAACAUUUUUAGCAAUUGGUUGGCACUUAUUCUAUUUGAAGAUACCUCAGGCAUCUGUUUCGCAUUGGAAUUCAUUUUGUUUUUCUUUGUUUUCCUAACAAAUCAGCCAUUCAGUUUUGCACACCGCAGGGGCUGGUGGCAUACCCAUUUUAUAAACCAGCGUCUACCCAUUGUCUUACAAAACGCCAGAUAGAGGUGCUGCAUUCCACACAGUGUUAAGGCAGUGACGUCGGUGUUCCGGGAACUUCAGAAUUCCUGAAUGUGUUGGUGUUGAUAAAAGGUGGUGAGAUGAAGUAAAAUGAUCAUAAACUUAGGGUAACAUGUGUCCUAGCUCUUUGUCUGUGGUAAAUCUUAGGAAAACAAUACACUCUUCUUGGGCUUCAUUAUCUCAUCUGUAAAUGAAAAUAUUAGAUAAAGCUGUACAGACAACCUAUGCUUUCACUGGAAUAUGAGAUGAUUUUAGGUGUCAUCACUCAUGAUGUUAAAUAAUAUUAUGAUGAAUCAUUUCCCGUUAGCAUCUUCUUUCAUCCUUCUGGUGAUACAAAAGAAUCAUUAUUUUUGUGAUAGCUUUUGAUCUCCUAUUUAAAAGACAGAGAACAAAUCCAUGUUCAGAAUUUUAGAAGUAUGAUUAUAUAGGUAGCGUUCUAUAAAAUUGUCCAUCUUUAUUGUGUAAAUAAAGGGUUCAUUUUUAAGUAGAUAAAUUCAAAUACAACACUGUGUCAAUUAAAAGGUAAAUACGGAGAAAUAAAAUAGGUAGAACUCAGGUGUGGUAAUAUAUGCAGGUAAAGCAUAAGUCAAUGAUAUUCAUGGGACCCUGCACACUGGUGUGUCAGGACCCUUGCCAUCUUAAAUUGGACCUCUCUGUCUAUUGUGUAUUCACCUUUCUUUCUAAAUGUGCUGUAGCUUUCUCGUAAGUGGAAAAAUAAAUAUACCUAGACACACAUAAGCUGCAUGGAUCAAUUUCUCUUGCAGGUAGACAUCACCAUGUGACACAGCAUCAGCCAACAAGAUGGAAAUAAAGGUGAAGUUGUCACAUGACAUCUACAAGGACUAGUUAGAUGAGGUGGUGACUCUGGUGGCAAUUGUUCUUUUGUCUUUUUCACAUUCCUUCUUGUCCUGUCUGGGAUGCUGAAGUGAUGGCUGGUAAACAGAUGCCCUCUUGUGAUGUUGAGAUAAACAUGAGAAUAAAAGCCAUGGACUACAGAUGGCAGAGAAGAGAGAGAAAGCUAGGAUGUUAGUGAGUAUAGAUGGAACUGAGUUUCUACUACACAAGUUCUACCACUGACCUUUGGACUUCAUGAUAUGUGAGUGAGAAAUAAACUCCUACUUUAGAAGAGAUCUAUGUUACCUGCAACUGAAAGGAAUGCCUAAUUGGCAUAUCCCAUGUGCUUCAACCCUUCCUUAGUUUUGGGUGGAAGGCAUACUUCGUCUUUACCCAUCCUUCUGCUCACAUCCAUUCACUCAAUCAGCCUCCCAAUCAGCCUCAAUCAAUCUAACCCAGAUUCUGGAGCAAGCCCCACAAAUUAUGGAUUGAAUGUCCACUCACUACAAGAGAGAGAUUUAAAGAUGUAAAGUUCUAUCCAAACACAUUUUAGAUUUCUAGCAUCUUUGAGGUGGUGGUUUGCAGUGGUUAAUGGGGUUUAAAUGACUUGUGAUUCAAAGCUCAUUCCAUAUUACAAUGUAGCAGUGCAAAAGGAAGGAUUGGUAAAAAAUUAUGUUACUUUACAUUCUGGGAUACAUGUGCAGAAUGUGCAGGUUUGUUACGUAAGUAUACAUAUGCCAUGGUGGUUUGCUAUACCUAUCAACCCAUGUGACACAACAUCACCAUGUGACACAACAUCAUCUAGGUUUUAAGCCCCACAUGCAUCAGGUGUCUGACCUAAUGCUCUCCCUCCCCUUCACCCCCGGCCCUGACAGGCCCCAGUGUGUGAUGUUCUCCUCCCUGUGUCCAUGUGUUCUCAUUGUUCAACUCCCCCUUAUGAGUGAGAACAUGCAGUGUUUGAUUUUCUGUUCUUAAGUUAAUUUGCUGAGAAUGAUGGCUUCCAGCUUCAUCCAUGUCCCUGCAAAGGACACGAACUCAUUCUUUUUCAUGGUUGUGUAGUAUUUCAUGAGUCUGGAGAUUUGGUUACAGAUAGAGCUGAAUGAGACUUAGCUAUAUCUAAUGCAUUUUGAUAGUUAUAUCAAUUCUUUUUUUUACUGCUUUUGUAAAUGAAUGUAUUAAGAAGAAAAAAAUUACAAAUGACCCUUUCUUUACAAACUUUUAGGGUAAUUAAGUUCAGCUAUUAAAAAACAGAUGUUUGCAACAUUCAUAGCAAUUCUUCUCAGGAAAUUAAAAAUACUUAAAAACUGUAAUCGUUUUGAUACCAUUCAGAUAUUAUAUCUUCAACUGUGAGAUAAUUCUCAGCGAUCCAUGUCAACUUUUAAAAAAUGCUAAAUAUAUCAAAUCAAAAUGUCUCCUCUAAAAUAAAUUAGCUCUAAUUAUUUAUUUUUAAAAACUUUGUCCUUAUAGGGGUAGAAAUAAAGUGAAAGUUUUGACUCAUUUCCUCAUUAAAGUUUGGAUUUUCCAGUCA